AAGUCGUAACAAGGUUUCCGUAGGUGAACCUGCGGAAGGAUCAUUAUUGAAUAAAUCUGACAUGGUUGUAGCUGGCUCUUCGGGGCAUGUGCUCGCCUGUCACCUUUAUCUUUCCACCUGUGCACACACUGUAGUCCUGGAUACCUCUCGCCGCAAGGCGGAUGCAGAGACUGCUGUUCAGCCUCCGAAAGGGGGAGGUCGGCUAUCUCUGAAUUUCCAGGUCUACGAUUAUCACAUACCCCAAUUGAAUGUUACAGAAUGUUAUCAAAGGGCCUUGUGCCUAUAAACCUAUACAACUUUCAGCAACGGAUCUCUUGGCUCUC
rnacentral:misc_RNA from 1 species